rnacentral:rRNA from 1 species
UAGAGUUUGAUCAUGGCUCAGACUGAACGCUGGCGGCAUGGCUAAAGCAUGCAAGUCGAACGGGCCCGCAAGGGCCAGUGGCGGACGGGUUAGUAAUGCGAUCGAACGUACCCCGAGGUGGGGGAUAGCGGUGGGAAACUGCCGGUAAUACCCCAUGUGCUCUUCGGAGGAAAGGUUUACCGCCUUGGGAUCGGCGAUCGUCCUAUCAGGUAGUUGGCGGGGUAAAGGCCCACCAAGCCGAAGACGGGUAGCGGGUGUGAGAGCACGGCCCGCAACAUCGGAGCUGAGACACUGUCCGGACUCCUACGGGAGGCUGCAGCAACGAAUCUUCCGCAAUGGGCGCAAGCCUGACGGAGCAAUGCCGCGUGUGGGAUGAAGUGCCUACGGCAUGUAAACCACUGUCAGAGGGCAGAAACACUGAUCGCCCUCAGAGGAAGUGGCGACUAACUCUGUGCCAGCAGCCGCGGUAAU